CUUUUAAGGAAUUAAAGUCGUAACAAGGUUUCCCGUAGGGGAACCCUGCGGAAGGAAUCAUUAUCGAAUGGCCGCCGGGGACCUUAUCGGGAUCGGGCUGGGUUUUUUGACACACCCUUACUUUACGGCGUACCUUUUUGUUCUCCUUCGGCGGGGCAACCCGCCGCUGGAACUUAACAGAACCUUUUGUAUCUAGUAUUACCUGUUCCGAUAACCCAUAAUCGUUACAACUUUCAACCAAUGGAUCUCUUGGCUCUGGCAUCGAUGAAGAACGCAGCGAAAUGCGAUAAGUAGUGUGAAUUGCAGAAUUCAGUGAAUCAUCGAAUCUUUGAACGCACAUUGCGCCCCUUGGUAUUCCAUGGGGCAUGCCUGUUCGAGCGUCAUCUACACCCUCAAGCUCUGCUUGGUGUUGGGCGUCUGUCCCGCCUCUGCGCGUGGACUCGCCCCAAAGGCAUUGGCAGCGGUCUUUUGCACCUCUCGCGCAGCACAUUGCGCUUCUCGAGGCGAAGAAGGUCGCGACCAUAAGCUACAUUACCGUCUUUGACCUCGGAUCAGGUAGGGAUACCCGCUGAACUUAAGCAUAUCAAUAAGCGGAGGAAAAGAAACCAACAGGGAUUGCCCUAGUAACGGCGAGUGAAGCGGCAACAGCUCAAAUUUGAAAUCUGGCUCUCUUUGGGGGUCCGAGUUGUAAUUUGCAGAGGGUGCUUUGGCAUCGGCGGCGGUCUAAGUUCCUUGGAACAGGACAUCACAGAGGGUGAGAAUCCCGUACGUGGGCGCCUGCCUUUGCCGUGUAAAGCCCCUUCGACGAGUCGAGUUGUUUGGGAAUGCAGCUCUAAAUGGGAGGUAAAUUUUCUUCUAAAGCUAAAUACCGGGCCAGAGACCCGAUAGCGCACAAGUAGAGUGAUCGAAAGAUGAAAAAGUACUUUGGGAAAGAGAGUCAAAAUAGCACGUGAAAAUUGUUGAAAGGGAAGCGCUUGCAGCCAGACUUGCCCGCAGUUGCUCACCUAGGCUUUUGGCCUGGGGCACUCUUUCUGCGGGCAGGCCAGCAUCAGUUUGGGCGGUUGGAUAAAGGCCUCUGGUCACGUAUCUCCCUUUCCAAGGGGACCUUAUAGGGGAGGCGUAAUGCAACCAGCCCGGACUGAGGUCCGCGCUCUGCUAGAAUGUGGUACAAUGGCUUUAAACGGCCCCUUUGAAAAACGAACAAA
rnacentral:rRNA from 1 species